GACGAACCGUGCGAACGUUGUUCGGAAUCACUGGGCUUAAAGGGCGCGUAGGCGGGCCGGCAAGUCAGGGGUGAAAUCCCACGGCUCAACCGUGGAAGUGCCUUUGAUACUGCCGGUCUGGAGGGAGGUAGGGGCGUGCGGAACUUCCGGUGGAGCGGUGAAAUGCGUAGAUAUCGGAAGGAACACCGGUGGCGAAAGCGGCGCGCUGGACCUCUACUGACGCUGAGGCGCGAAAGCCAGGGGAGCAAACGGG
rnacentral:rRNA from 1 species